rnacentral:lncRNA from 1 species
CUAUAGACACGCCCCAGGCUAUGGAUCAUGUUUUUCACAUCACCCGUUAAUUACUAAAUAAAACAACCGAGCUUUCAACCUGAUUAGCCCAGAUUAAUGGCCAGCAGCGGGUUUCACGUGCCUGCACAAUUUAUCACUGAAAAGAACUGUGUCUUUAAUGAUUUAGCUACCUGGCCUAGCAGGGCCGGCUCAGGGCCGCAGGCCUCCGAGAGGAGUUAAUUGCUGUUCUUCGUUUCUGACCUGGAAAGGCCCAGGUGACAGUUCCCAUUAGCCAGGCUUGGCCUGCUUGAUGACAAAGGAUGGCAGGAAGCCCUUCCCUCCCACUUUGUUCGGAAGAUACAUCGAGGUCAAGUGUCCCACCACGCCAGCUGCCUGCUAGAACAGAUACAGAACAGAUUUCCUGUUUCCGAAGAAAUAUGCAUACUGAAGCCUAAACUUGCAUCCCAAACAAGCAAUCUGAGAAGUUUUGUGAUGGUGGAUGUCCUGGAUAAAUCUACUGGGGUUUAGGAUGUCAGGAUUCUGCUCCCAGCUUCUCCUCUGACCGGCAGAUGUCUUCAGAGGCAAGCACAGAAACGAGUGAAAUGGAGACUGGGUUUUAUAACUGCUGUGGUUUGUAACUUCCCUGCCCUCUGUUGCUCACUUCUAGGGUCAUUGGGCUUUCUCUCAGGUUUGAGCAUGUUAUGAAUGAACCACAAUGAGGGAGAAGCUCCAUGUGGACGUGCCCCUUGACUGUGGCGAUGGUGGUGGUCAGCAAGCACUUUCUAGGUGUCUGGCACAGCUCUGGUCUCAGUGGGGCUGCAAAAGAAGAAAAACGGGUGAUGAUCCAGGCUGAAGAUGGUAGCGGCCUGCCGCUGGGUCCUGGCCACAGCUGGGGCUGAGCUGCGCUCCUGGCUGAGGGUUCAGCUGGCAUGUGGAAGGGCCUCAUGCCCUUCAUAGCGCCCCCUCUGGUGGGAGAGAGCAUGCCAAACACCUUCCUGAGGUUGCUGCACAGACAGCACAAGAGACUCAAGGUCUGGCCUACCCUGUCUCCGCACGGGUCCACCCUUUCCCUGGGAAGGCUAACCAUGCUCGAUUCUACAACCCUCACGUGAGUCUGCUUCCGACCGACUAUGAAGAUGAACAAAGGGAACUGGACUGCUACCCAGGCUCCAGUUUGGACAAUUACUCUGCAUGUGGAGCAGUGGUGUACAGAAUCUUCAGCUCGCCUUCUUUACUUGUAUCAAGUGAUGACCAGUGCACUGAUCUUCCAUCCCUUUGCUUUGUGGCAGGAUAUGGCUUAAAUA